rnacentral:rRNA from 1 species
CCUACGGGAGGCAGCAGUGGGGAAUAUUGCGCAAUGGGCGGAAGCCUGACGCAGCGACGCCGCGUGAGGGAUGACGGCCUUCGGGUUGUAAACCUCUUUCAGCAGGGACGAAGCGAAAGUGACGGUACCUGCGGAAGAAGCACCGGCCAACUACGUGCCAGCAGCCGCGGUAAUACGUAGGGUGCAAGCGUUGUCCGGAAUUAUUGGGCGUAAAGAGCUCGUAGGCGGUUUGUCGCGUCGGCUGUGAAAGCCCGGAGCUCAACUCCGGGUCUGCAGUCGAUACGGGCAGACUUGAGUGUUGCAGGGGAGACUGGAAUUCCUGGUGUAGCGGUGAAAUGCGCAGAUAUCAGGAGGAACACCGGUGGCGAAGGCGGGUCUCUGGGCAACAACUGACGCUGAGGAGCGAAAGCGUGGGGAGCGAACAGGAUUAGAUACCCUGGUAGUCCACGCCGUAAACGUUGGGCGCUAGGUGUGGGGCCAUUCCACGGUCUCCGUGCCGCNGCUACGACAUAGCGCCCGCCGUCGGAGGACGGCCGCGACGGACGUAAACGUUAAACGGUAAGUUAGACGGCGUGAGACGUACGACCGACGGACGACGACGAGGGAGGUA